rnacentral:lncRNA from 1 species
CUAAACACAGUUUUUUUUAGAUAAAAGAGUUGAAGAAAAACUAAUGAGAAAAUAUCUGUCCAUUCUUAGAGAUUAUAAUUUUAUCGAUUCAAUAUUAAAUAUAAAAUUGAUGUCAAGUAGAGUCAUUAAGGAUAGCAUAAUUAAUAUAUCAGGGGGACUGGAAAGUAAUGUCGUUUCUGCAGGUGUCACUAUUUGUUUAUCAUUUAUCAGCUCAUUGUGUACUUCAAAGUCAUGCCAAAGACAUUUUAAAGUUAAAGUGACUUGUUUAUUUGUAAAUAAUUAAAUCUUAAAUUUUUUUUGCAAU